GACUCUCGGCAACGGAUAUCUCGGCUCUCGCAUCGAUGAAGAACGUAGCAAAAUGCGAUACCUGGUGUGAAUUGCAGAAUCCCACGAACCAUCGAGUUUUUGAACGCAAGUUGCGCCCGAAGCCUUCUGGCGGAGGGCACGUCUGCCUGGGCGUCA
rnacentral:rRNA from 7 species